rnacentral:rRNA from 1 species
GAUGAACGCUGGCGGCGUGCCUAAUACAUGCAAGUCGAGCGAACAGACGAGGAGCUUGCUCCUCUGACGUUAGCGGCGGACGGGUGAGUAACACGUGGAUACCCUACCUUUAAGACUGGGAUAACUUCGGGAACCCGGAGCUAAUACCGGAUAAUAUAUUGAACCGCAUGGUUCAUUAGUGAAAGACGUCUUUGCUGUCCCUUAUAGAUGGACCCGCGCCGCAUUAGCUAGUUGGUAAGGUAACGGCUUACCAAGGCAACGAUGCGUAGCCGACCUGAGAGGGUGAUCGGCCACACUGGAACUGAGACACGGUCCAGACUCCUACGGGAGGCAGCAGUAGGGAAUCUUCCGCAAUGGGCGAAAGCUUGACGGAGCAACGCCGCGUGAGUGAUGAAGGUCUUCGGAUCGUAAAACUCUGUUAUUAGGGAAGAACAAAUGUGUAAGUAACUAUGCACGUCUUGACGGUACCUAAUCAGAAAGCCACGGCUAACUACGUG